GAUGAACGCUAGCGGCAGGCCUAAUACAUGCAAGUCGGACGGGAUUCAGGUGCUUGCACCUGAUGAGAGUGGCGCACGGGUGCGUAACACGUAUGUAACCUACCUUUGUCAGGGGGAUAGCCUCUCGAAAGAGAGAUUAAGCCCGCAUAAAAUCACAUUGUGGCAUCACAGAGUGAUCAAAUAUUUAUAGGACAAAGAUGGGCAUGCGGAACAUUAGCUAGUUGGCGAGGUAACGGCUCACCAAGGCUACGAUGUUUAGGGGAUCUGAGAGGAU
rnacentral:rRNA from 1 species